AUGCUUUCGCAACUUGACUUCAAAAUAUUUGGUUUGGAGACCAUCAAAGAUCAAUAUGUGCAUGAUGCUGAUUUUAAUGAUGUAAUGCAGAAUUGUAAAGAAGGAAGAAUGUGGAACAAGUUUGUUGUUAACGAUGGAUUUGUGUUUCGUGCUAACAAGCUAUGCAUUCCAGCUAGCUCCGUUCGUCUUUUGUUGUUGCAGGAGGCGCAUGGAGGAGGAUUAAUGGGACACUUUGGCGUGAAGAAGACGGAGGACGUACUUGCUACACAUUUCUUUUGGCCAAAGAUGAGACGGGAUGUUGAGCGUUUUAUUGCUCGCUGCACUACAUGUCAAAAAGCUAAGUCACGACUCAAUCCUCAUGGUUUAUAUAUGCCUUUGCCUGUACCUAGUGUUCCUUGGGAGGAUAUAUCUAUGGACUUUGUUUUAGGUUUACCUCGAACAAAGAAGGGGAGGGAUAGCAUAUUUGUUGUCGUGGAUAGAUUCUCGAAAAUGGCACACUUUAUACCAUGUCAUAAAAGCGAUGAUGCUGUUAAUGUUGCUGAUUUGUUCUUUCGUGAAAUUGUUCGCUUGCAUGGUGUGCCAAAUACUAUUGUUUCAGAUCGUGAUACUAAAUUUCUUAGCCACUUUUGGAGAUGUUUAUGGGCUAAGUUGGGGACUAAACUGCUUUUUAGUACUACUUGUCACCCCCAAACUGAUGGACAAACUGAAGUAGUCAAUAGAACGUUGUCUACUAUGCUUAGGGCUGUUUUGAAGAAUAAUAAGAAAAUGUGGGAGGAAUGCUUGCCUCAUAUUGAAUUUGCUUAUAAUCGUUCAUUGCAUUCUACUACUAAGAUGUGCCCUUUUGAAGUUGUGUAUGGUUUCCGACCUCGUGCACCUAUUGAUUUGUUGCCUCUUCCAUCUUCGGGGAAGGUUAAUUUUGAUGGUAAACAACGUGCUGAAUUGAUUUUAAAAAUGCAUGAGUUAACUAAGGAAAACAUUGAGCGCAUGAAUGCUAAAUAUAAACUUGCUGGAGAUAAGGGUAGAAAACAUGUUGUGUUUGCACCUGGAUAUCUUGUUUGGUUACAUUUGCGUAAGGAUAGAUUUCCUAAUUUGCGCAAAUCAAAGUUAAUGCCACGUGCUGAUGGUCCCUUUAAGGUGUUAGAGAAAAUAAAUGAUAAUGCAUAUAAACUUGAGCUGCCUGCAGAUUUUGGGGUUAGUCCCACUUUUAACAUUGCAGAUUUGAAGCCUUAUUUGGGUGAGGAAGAUGAACUUCCGUCGAGGACGACUUCAUUUCAAGAAGGGGAGGAUGAUGGACAUCAAUACAAUUGUUACACCCACAGCCCCUGCUGCUAUACAUACUGGACCAAUUACUAG
rnacentral:rRNA from 1 species